CUCUCCUCUGCCCGUGUUCUUCCUGGAGACUCCUCCCGAUCCAAAUCCCCAUCGUUUCCGAUCGAUCUACUGUCCCUCGUCCAGUCUUCACUCCGUAUAAAUAGUCCACUUACUCUCCUCUGCCGAUUUUUGGCAAAAUACCUCUCUCCCGUGCCUGUUUCACCUUGCCCGGAUCUCGCCGGAGUCCGCCACCGCAGGAGCACCUCCGCCACUCGAUUUCAUCGCCACAGAAGGGAAGCACCCACCCGAGUGCUUCGACCUCCGCCCCGACGAACACCGCCGUCGCCGCUCCAGCCGAACCUCACAUACUUUAGCAGAAGGCCCGGUCGUCCCAGAGGACGUUUUGGAGUUCGACGUGUCCCUCCUCGCCUCGUCCUGUUCUCCCCGAGCUCGGGAGGCCUCUCCAGCGACGCCAGUUUCAAAUCCGAGCCGUGCCGCCGCCGUCUCGUUCAAUUCCGGCUGGCAUACUCUGUUCCUCUCCGAUUGUCCGGAGUGUGAAGCGGAUCAGAAUUGAGCGUUAGAGUACUUCAACAGCGUUCAAGGCAAGUUGCACUUUUUGAUUAUGCUCAUCUUAUAUUCUGCUAUGCAUGUGUGGUUUUAUGCUAUGAUAUAUGUGUUGGCCUGAUAUGUGUACCCCGUGUUGUCAUGUUUGGUCUUGAUUGUGCUCUGUGAUGGUGUGAUCAACUUGCCAUGGUAGACGUGGGCAUGUCUCGAGUGAUCCAUGAAAGUGAUGAGUGUUUAUAGCCGUAGGCUCGGGAUUAUUAACCAGGUGAAUGCGUCACUGGCAGAGCGCUCUAUUGCCCCUAGAGAAUGCGCCAUUGACAGAGCGCACUUGAGGCGAGGUUUAGUUUUUGGAACUUAAAUCAGGUGAAUGCGUCCUUGGCAGAGUGCUCUAUUGUUCCUAGAGAAUGCGCCACUGACAGAGCGCACUUGAGACAUACUUCUGAAGUUCUUGUCAUGUUUAUUUAGAAUCUUUGGGUUAUCUUGGGCGAGUAAACUAGAGACGGUUGUGAGUUCAGGUA